rnacentral:rRNA from 1 species
UACAGAGGUCUCAAGCGUUGUUCGGAUUCAUUGGGCGUAAAGGGUGCGUAGGUGGCGCGGUAAGUCGGGUGUGAAAUUUCGGAGCUUAACUCCGAAACUGCAUUCGAUACUGCCGUGCUUGAGGACUGGAGAGGAGACUGGAAUUUACGGUGUAGCAGUGAAAUGCGUAGAGAUCGUAAGGAAGACCAGUGGCGAAGGCGGGUCUCUGGGACAGUUCCUGACACUGAGGCACGAAGGCCAGGGAGCAAACGGG